rnacentral:rRNA from 1 species
UACGUAGGGUGCGAGCGUUAAUCGGAAUUACUGGGCGUAAAGCGCACGUAGGCGGGUUUUUAAGUCAGAUGUGAAAGCCCCGGGCUCAACCUGGGAAUUGCAUUUGAAACUGGGGAACUAGAGUGUGUGAGAGGGGGGUAGAAUUCCAAGUGUAGCGGUGAAAUGCGUAGAGAUUUGGAGGAAUACCAGUGGCGAAGGCGGCCCCCUGGCCCGAUAUUGACGCUGAGGUGCGAAAGCGUGGGGAGCAAACAGG